CCUACGGGGAGCUGCAGUGGGGAAUAUUGGACAAUGGGGGCAACCCUGAUCCAGCCAUGCCGCGUGUGUGAAGAAGGCCCUCGGGUUGUAAAGCACUUUCAGUGAGGAAGAACGCCUGGUGGUUAAUACCCAUCAGGAAAGACAUCACUCACAGAAGAAGCACCGGCUAACUCCGUGCCAGCAGCCGCGGUAAUACGGAGGGUGCGAGUGUUAAUCGGAAUUACUGGGCGUAAAGCGCGCGUAGGUGGCUUGAUAAGCCGGUUGUGAAAGCCCCGGGCUCAACCUGGGAACGGCAUCCGGAACUGUCAAGCUAGAGUGCAGGAGAGGAAGGUAGAAUUCCCGGUGUAGCGGUGAAAUGCGUAGAGAUCGGGAGGAAUACCAGUGGCGAAGGCGGCCUUCUGGACUGACACUGACACUGAGGUGCGAAAGCGUGGGUAGCAAACAGGAUUAGAUACCCGUGUAGUC
rnacentral:rRNA from 1 species